rnacentral:tRNA from 1 species
GCCGGAGUGGCGGAAUGGCAGACGCACCAGACUCAAAAUCUGGCGCCCUUACGGGUGUAUGGGUUCAAAUCCCAUCUCCGGUACCA